rnacentral:rRNA from 1 species
GCAUAUCAAUAAGCGGAGGAAAAGAAGCUAACCAGGAUUGCCUCAGUAAGGGCGACUGAAGCCGGAAUAGCUCACCGUGUGAAUCUGUGCCUCGUGCACCGAAUUGUGGUCUGGAGACUCUUGCAUUACUGGCCGGGCCAAGUCCCUUGGAACAGGGCAGCUGAGAGGGUGAGACUCCCGUUUGCCCGGCCCUUGGAACAAGUGUGUUCGAGUCGAGUUGUUUGGGAAU